GAGAAGGAGGAUGAGAGGAGACAUGAUAGAGGAGUACAAGAUAUUAAGAGGAACAGACAGAGUGGACAGCCAGCGCCUCUUCCCCAGGGCACCACUGCUCAAUAUAAGAGGACAUGGCUUUAAGGAUUUGCAGCAGCAACCACAACUGCUCGUUUUACAGAAAGUCAGACUCAUCGCAGGAUGUGUUACAGAGGGUGAAAUGGCGCCAAUUUCUGACUGGAGGAAGAGCAUGUUUAAUGGAGCUCACGGAAACAUUUACUUUAACGGUGGCACGCUGAAGUAAUUGGUGUGAAGUGAUCUGCUGAACAACAAGCAUGCCCCCAGAAAGCAAAUCUCACCACGAGUGCUGCCAUUGGCAGUUCGUCAGAUGGAGCCUUGGACAGAUUUCUGGGGAACGUGACUGGAAGAUGGAGGUAGAGGCUGCUGGCUUAACGGCGUUGGCAAUAGGAACUACUGCUGAAACUCACCAGAUCUACGCUGAUUCACUAGUUUUUCGUGCCGGCCAACAUUGCCCCCACCUCAGGCAUUCGCCAACCACAGAGACUUAGUGAGUCGUCUGCCACACACUUGGGCUCCAGUAUUGGGCACUUGGCCAGUAAUUGCAGGACAUAUUAGAACUGUUAUGUACUCGUGACACAUGACAGUGGUACCCUUGUCACGUGACUGGGGUUGAAGCUAUACUGUACUUGAGGUAAUGGUCUUGUGAUGGUGGAGUGAUGUCAUUUUCCCACCAGUGGAGAUCAUGUGACAGGUUUUUUUUACAGGGUAUAAAAGGAAGACCCCACCCUGUGAGGAGGGGCAGUUUGUGGCUGGAUUUGCCAAGUUGACUUCAUGCCACUGCGUGAUUUAAUGUGAUGACGCAGUUUAGUUGAAAGAUGGAGUUUUAUUUAAUGCCUAAAGUUUAAAAGGUCAUUGCCAGCAGUUUCUUUACAAUACUGCUAGUUGAGAAUCGGUGGAGAGUGAAGAUUGGAGUUCGGGAGUUAAAGAUCGAGGAGAAUCGAUUUUCGACGGUGAAACGGGUUCGACCUUAUUUAAUCCUUAUUCGGAAGGAAUUCGUUGACUGUUCUCAUGUUAAUCUCUGCGGGAUAGCAGAAGAUUGAGGACAGUGUGAUAAAGGAAAGGUCAAUGCCUUUAAGCCGUUACGUUUCGUAAAUUCUUCGUGGGAAAAGUUCGACCUCGGGGAUCGAAGCAAAACGACAUGAAAGAGAAUUUAAAUCAUCUUAAAAAGUCUCUCCCUUAAAUGGACUGUGAGCAUUUUGAACUUGUGGCAAUACUACUUUAAAGAACUGUUUUUGCAACAUCGCUUUAACAACUGUUUGAGCUGCAUCGCUUUAAGAACUGUUUAAGCUGCCACACAGCAGCUAA